GGGGAGUAUUGCAGCCGGCGUUUUAGAAGAAAUCCAGCGUGGGUGGUUAGAGGCUGUGGACCGAUGGGAGGUUACUGCAACGGGGGCGAGAGAUGGUGCGAGGUGCCCUCUAGAGCUCAGAGAGGAGGGAAGCAGCUGCCCUGGGGGCGGGGAGGCAGGGAUCAGGCUCUGGCAUUGCUAAGGUAGGGACAGGCAGGCUCUGGGGAGAUGGGCUGUGGGAUGUGCCUGGCUGGGGUGUGGAGGGGGGAGUUCAGGGGACAGCUCGGAGGAGAGGUCUGGGCACCAGGGUCAGGACCAGAAUCAUCAGAGAGGCGACAUUCAGCCACACAGGGGUUUGUGGGCGCCUCAGCACAGAUGAGGCCACUGAGAGAAAAUGGAGAGGAAAGGAGCCCAGAGGGAGGCGAGAGGCAGGAGGUGAACUUGGGGUGUGCACAGUGGGCUCAGCUGGGGAGUCUCCCCUAAAAGUGACAAUCACCCUUAGUCAAUGAGUCCGAGAGGUGACUCAGCUCUCGCGGACAGGAGGCGGGACCGGGAAUAACACUGGUUGGGCGCUAUCCAUGUGCAGACGCUGGCUUGGCAGUCCCGUACAAGCCCGGACUUAAGCAGGCUUCACAAGCCCUAGGAGGUGUUGCUAUUACGAACACGGUCCCCACAGCGCCUUUGGGGAAACCCAGGCACAGCAGGGCUGGGAUUAUUCCAGAACCUUCAGCAGAUACACAUGGGUUUGGCUGCACCUGGCGUCUGUGGCAGGGUCUGUUCUGAUUGGCGGAUGCUUGUCCUACUGGUUCUCCAGUGUUUUGAACAUCGCCCUGGCAACGCAGCUGGAAGGAAGGAGCAGAAUCCAAACCAGCCCACAGGGCUGGUGCCGAGCCCUGAACCACGGUCCUCUUUCCAUCUAGCGCGGCCACCGCCCAGCAGCAGCACACCUCGCGACAAGGAAUGCGUGUCACAGGGCUCGGAAGAAUGCAAAGCACAGUAUAAACACCAAGUUCGUUGACUCCUCCCAAGCAGAAGUGAGAGAAGCCCGUUUGAGGCCAAAGAAGCUGGGCCAUGAGAAGGCAGAGGAGACGCUGCUGUGGAGAAGCAGCAUUUUCUCUGCGUGCUCAACGGGGAAACUGAGCCAGAAGGGAAUCCUGCAUGAGUGGAGCCCCACGGUCGGCCCCUGGGAGGCUGCAACGUGCCAGCCACCACCAGGCACGAACCAGAUACUCUAGUACCAGCCAACACCAAGCAAGAAACUGAAGCCCUCAGCCCAGCAACCUGCACGGGACUGCAUUCUGUCAACAACCAACAAGCAUGGAAGAGGAUCUUUCCCCAGUCAAGCCUCAGAUGAGACCCCACCCUGGGCAACACCUUGAUUGCAGCCUUGAAGAGAACCUAGCUGAGCCGUGCCCAGACGCCUGUGAGAAAUUGUGAGAUGGUGACCGAUGGGUCCCAAAGGGCCUUCAGGCCAUGCUGGUCUCUGUGACCCCUUCAUCUCCUUGUCUCCACCCUGGGAAUGAUCGUCCAAUGGGGGCAACGCUGAGCAUGAGAAUCAUAAACCAUUGGUUUACGGGGAAGGGAUACAGUGCCCAUCUCGCGCCCGGAACUGAGCGAAGGAUUCAUUCCAAACGCUCGAACGUGCACGGGCUCUAGGCGUGUCCCAGUCAGAGCAGCUCCGCCAGGAGGGUGUUUCAUGGCUGCAGGGAAAUUCCAGAGCAGAUCCUGCCACUGCGAAAUGUGUUUGUCCUACAGGCGUUUGCGGAGGGUCGGCCUCCUGAGCAAUGGAGAUGGGAACCGGCUGGGUCUCCAAAGGACUAAGUGACCGGGAAAGUGCUCUGGGAACACGCAGGAGCGGCACCACAAUAAUAUAACCGUAGUCCCCAUGAUUGCCACUUCCUUCUGUUCUCUGCUCCAGUGCUCCCUUCCUGACCUGCAAAUCUGUCCCCACCGCUCCCUCUCCCUGGCCACCCGGCCUUACACUCUCCCUGGCGGCACCAUGGCUCACAGCACUGCUCUUGUCUAGCAGCUUCCUCUCCACAAGGCAGGGGCCAGGAGGGCAGGGAGUUGCUUUGCUCACUGCUGUGUCCUCGGUGCCUAGAGAACCUGCCCGAAUUUACUGAGCACUCACUAUGUGCCAGACGCUGUAUGAAGUGUUUCAAGUGGGUUAUCUAAUUUCGUCCGCAUGACAACCCUAUGCAGGAUUUUCCCAAAGCAGGAAAAGGAAGCCUCUCAAAGAGAAGUUGAGAGUCAGUUCAUAGUUGACCCUGACAGUCUUGACCCUCAACCACCUCUCGACUUGGCCAUGAGAACCACCCACCCAUCCCACCCACCCCCACACCCUCCCCGCUUGGGGGAAAACCACCCUGCCACAGCCUUGGGACGGGUGGGCCAACCCCAACCCCCGCCCGCCCGCCCCACCAGCCUGGCUCUGGUGUGUGGCGGUGCAGAGGGGCCCUGGUCCUGCAGGGACCCAGAACAUACAGUCAGCCCCAAUUUAGGAUUGCUCCACUUUGUCAUAGUGAGAAAGGGGUCCACAUUAGUAGAAACCAUACUUCAAAUUUUGAAUUUUGAUCUUUUCCCAGGGUAGCAAUAUGGGGUCCGACCCUCUGCAAUGCUGGGCAGCUCCCGGUCAGCCCUGAGAGCAGGAAGUGGCUUUACAGGGACGUGGCCCCACCGUAAGUCAAGAAGCAUCCGCACCGCUGGGAAGAGUUGUUUUUUAUUUUUUUCCUAAACUCCUCUUAUCUAAUAGCAGAGCUUCCCCAAAGAACUGAGCUGUCCUCCAUCCCCUCCCUGGGCGUUUUGCAACCAGGGCAGAUUGAGGAGAAGCCAGCACCAGGGUUCCCAAACGCUGAGCCUGAGAGGGUGGAGGAAAGUUCUUCCGUCCAGACAAUACCAAGCUCGAUCUGUCCAUGCCUCUGUUCCAGUGGGAGGGGACAUGCUGACCCCUGACCAGUUGUUGGUGGUCAGAAUGGAUUACUGCAAAUUUAUCUCCCAAAUGGUCCCUGGGCAUCUGAGGAUGCAGUGAUCUCUGUAACUGAGUUUCCUUUCCAAAAAGUUAACCUGCAUCCCAACAAGACUCCAGGAAAAGAAAGGGCCCACCAGGGAGGGUGCCGCCCAGAGUGCUGGGUCAGCUGGCCAUAGAGGGCAAGCAGCACUCACCCUGGGGGACUCGCUGUGGUCUGCAGUGCAGCCCCUAGCUCUGCCAGCCAGAGGGAAUUCCUUUCUGGGGGACCAACUCACACUAACCAAACUCACCAAGCACUGAGGAAGAAACCACAAUGCCAUCUUCCUAGCUUGCAAAGAGAAGCCACUGUCUGGAGGACAAGGUGCACAGGUUGGCAGAUUUGGACAGUCUCUCUUCAGGUGUCUGUCUGGCAGGAAACUACACUGCAGGGAGAACGAUGCUGGGUUGGGUCAAGGUUGGCCUGGGCUCUCUUGGUGGGUGUCAGUGGCCCAAAGCAAUGAGAAGGUCCAGAUAAAAUGGGAUGUCCAUGAGAAGAAAACCUCUGUGGGACAUAUACAUUGUUAGGAGAAAGCACAUAGCCUUCAGCUGAAAGUUUAUUUCAGAGCAUGACAUGUAAACACUGACACUCCUAGGACUGCUCUAGUGGGAGAGAGGGAAGCCCACGCCAGGGAGCUCUGACCUGCUGGAACUUCUCCCCGUGGCACUGAGGUGUCCCUGGCCCAUGACUGCCGGACUGCCUGACCCCUUAGCAAGGGAAGCAGACCUGGUUGGUUGCAGGAGGGUCCUAUACUAGGAGGGUGGCAUUUAUUACCAUGAGCUCAGGUCGGCUUGGGAAGACGAGGGUAGUCUCUGAAUAGACAGCGAUGAGGGUGCUCUAACACCUGGACUUGGUGACCACACAGAUAAAGUCCUCAACUAGAAGACCAAUCUAGGCCAGGCGCCGUGGCUCACACCUAUAAUCCUAGCACUUGGGAGGCCGAGGCGGGUGGAUUGCUCGAGGUCAGG